rnacentral:rRNA from 1 species
UACGGAGGAUGCAAGCGUUAUCCGGAAUUAUUGGGCGUAAAGCGUCCGCAGGUGGUUUAUCAAGUCUGCUGUCAAAGCGCGAGGCUUAACUUCCGUAAAGGCAGUGGAAACUGAUGGACUUGAGUGUGAUAGGGGGCAGAGGGAAUUCCCAGUGUAGCGGUGAAAUGCGUAGAGAUUGGGAAGAACACCGGUGGCGAAAGCGCUCUGCUGGGUCACAACUGACACUGAGGGACGAAAGCUAGGGGAGCGAAAGGG